AUACACAUGUAGGAUGGCCUGUUUUGGUAGAUGCAUGGGAAAAAGCAUGAAGAAUUUCCACCAACCUAUGAACUGACAUAUUCAACUCUGAGAGAACUUCCAGGUAAACAUGGUCGGCUACUCAUGUGUUAUCUCCACACCCCCAAGCAACAUGAACUGCGCCAUCACUGACUUCUAAAGAUGAUAAAUCCUCCCACCGAAGGGCACGUAGUUUUGGAAGAUGGACACAGAAGGGCUGACAGCUAACACAGCCUCCAGUGUUCCCUGCUCCACUGAGCAUCCUCAGAGGGAGACAGCACAGGGACACCUGGAGCAGAGCGAGGCCCAGCGGAGCCCAAGAGACAGGGGAGGGGAAGGCAAGGAAGGAGGAACGCAGUGGGAACGGAAGGGGGUCAGCAAGAGAAAAAAGGUGCAUGGGUUGAGUCUUUUAUCACAAACUGUUAGCUACAUUCCCUCUGCCGCACCUCGGAUCCCAGGUCUCUUUUCUCAUCCUCACUGAUAAAGAGACUCCUCCUGAUGCCCCCGUGCAGGACAGCGCAGCUUAACCCGUGGGGACACUAAGCCCAGUGCAGGACAGGGAUGCUCACCUAACAGGCGACAGGGGAUCUGG